AGUUACAUAACUGCCCCCAAAGCCAGGGGGCAGGAGCAGGGCCAGCCGUGGGAGAUGUUUCCAAAGAGGAAUGCUGAGGAAGGACUGACCUUGAGAAGACCGGGAGUUCGCCAGGCCAUGGAAUGUUCCCAGCCUCAGGGCUUAAACAAAAACUGUAUUCAGAGAGCGGGUGCUCUGUUGAGAACAAGCCCUGUCUGUCUCCCUGCUUUGUCUUGAGGGUUUAUCAAGGGAGUACUGGCCACCGUGCUAAAUGCCAGCUUCUUUUUAAGGCACUGAGCUGAGCGUGCAGGAUGAAACAGAAAAGGGCAUGUUUUUCCACCAAGAAGCAGAGGAUCGGCAGCAGCUGGAGUUACAGCACCCCCAGCCCCCCCCACCCCUGCCCUAACGUGGCCCCUACAGGAGAGAACAGGUUGGGUAAAGCCAUUUCCUCACAAUGAGACGGAGCCUGGGCAAAAAGUUUCCCCUGAACAGUGGUUCUGCACGGUGACUGGGACUCCAAAUUGCCUAGAGAGCUGAGGAAGCUGCUGGGACCGGGCUGUGUGCUCGGAGAGUGGCACUAGAUGUCCAGGCCCCAAAAGGGAGGAGGGCACGAGACAGAUUCCGUUAUAAUAGCCAUCUUUAUUUGUAAAAAUCCAGAUAUAAAAUGUAUUCUUUCAGUCUUUCCAAGUUUUCCUUUUUACAAAAACAAAAAGGCACAUAAAAA